UGGUAAAAACUGUUGUCCUCACCAUCCCUCGAGGCAAACUAAACUCUAAAUCUCUGAGUCUACGCUAGCCUCUCCAGAUGCAGACACACCUCUCUACGUAUCAAAUCCCACCUACCAGCGUACAUGCAGAUAAGAACUAGAAAUAUCCAGACAUUACUAUAAUAUACUGACUUAAGCAUAAAUGGCUCC